rnacentral:rRNA from 1 species
CACACCGCCCGUCACACCAUGGGAGUUGGUUUUACCUGAAGACGGUGCGCUAACCGCAAGGAGGAUAGCCGCCCAUGGUAUGGCUGGUGACUGGGGUG